GAUGAACGCUGGCGGCGUGCCCAAUACAUGCAAGUCGAGCGAACAGACGAGGAGCUUGCUCCUCUGACGUUAGCGGCGGACGGGUGAGUAACACGUGGAUAACCUACCUAUAAGACUGGGAUAACUUCGGGAAACCGGAGCUAAUACCGGAUAAUAUAUUGAACCGCAUGGUUCAAUAGUGAAAGACGGUUUUGCUGUCACUUAUAGAUGGAUCCGCGCCGCAUUAGCUAGUUGGUAAGGUAACGGCUUACCAAGGCAACGAUGCGUAGCCGACCUGAGAGGGGGAUCGGCCACACUGGAACUGAGACACGGUCCAGACUCCUACGGGAGGCAGCAGUAGGGAAUCUGCCGCAAUGGGCGAAAGCCUGACGGAGCAACGCCGCGUGAGUGAUGAAGGUCUGCGGAUCGUAAAACUCUGUUAUUAGGGAAGAACAAAUGUGUAAGUAACUAUGCACGUCUUGACGGUACCUAAUCAGAAAGCCACGGCUAACUACGU
rnacentral:rRNA from 1 species